GAAGCGGGAAGAGCUCAAAUUUAUAAUCUGGCACCUUCGGUGUCCGAGUUGUAAUCUCUAGAAAUGUUUUCCGCGUUGGACCGCACACAAGUCUGUUGGAAUACAGCGGCAUAGUGGUGAGACCCCCGUAUAUGGUGCGGACGCCCAGCGCUUUGUGAUACAUUUUCGAAGAGUCGAGUUGUUUGGGAAUGCAGCUCAAAUUGGGUGGUAAAUUCCAUCUAAAGCUAAAUAUUGGCGAGAGACCGAUAGCGAACAAGUACCGUGAGGGAAAGAUGAAAAGCACUUUGGAAAGAGAGUUAACAGUACGUGAAAUUGUUGGAAGGGAAACGCUUGAAGUCAGACUUGCUUGCCGAGCAAUCGGUUUGCAGGCCAGCAUCAGUUUUCCGGGAUGGAUAAUGGUAGAGAGAAGGUAGCAGUUUCGGCUGUGUUAUAGCUCUCUGCUGGAUACAUCUUGGGGGACUGAGGAACGCAGUGUGCCUUUGGCGGGGGUUUCGACCUCUUCACACUUAGGAUGCUGGUGGAAUGGCUUUAAACGACCCGUCUUG
rnacentral:rRNA from 1 species